rnacentral:rRNA from 1 species
AUUGAACGCUGGCGGCAGGCUUAACACAUGCAAGUCGAGCGGAGAUGAGGUGCUUGCACCUUAUCUUAGCGGCGGACGGGUGAGUAAUGCUUAGGAAUCUGCCUAUUAGUGGGGGACAACAUUCCGAAAGGAAUGCUAAUACCGCAUACGCCCUACGGGGGAAAGCAGGGGAUCUUCGGACCUCGCGCUAAUAGAUGAGCUUAAGUCGGAUUAGCUAGUUGGUGGGGUAAAGGCCUACCAAGGCGACGAUCUGUAGCGGGUCUGAGAGGAUGAUCCGCCACACUGGGACUGAGACACGGCCCAGACUCCUACGGGAGGCAGCAGUGGGGAAUAUUGGACAAUGGGCGGAAGCCUGAUCCAGCCAUGCCGCGUGUGUGAAGAAGGCCUUUUGGUUGUAAAGCACUUUAAGCGAGGAGGAGGCUACCUGGAUUAAUACUCUAGGAUAGUGGACGUUACUCGCAGAAUAAGCACCGGCUAACUCUGUGCCAGCAGCCGCAGUAACAC